ACGAACGCUGGCGGUGUGCUUAACACAUGCCAGUCGAACGGUAAGGCCCUUUCGGGGGUACACGAGUGGCGAACGGGUGAGUAACACGUGAGUAACCUGCCCUCAUCUCUGGGAUAACAGUCGGAAACGGUUGCUAAUACUGGAUAUGAGCUUGCAAGGCAUCUUGUGGGUUGGAAAGAUUUUUUUUGGUUGGGGAUUGACUCGCGGCCUAUCAGCUUGUUGGUGAGGUAGUGGCUCACCAAGGCUUCGACGGGUAGCCGGCCUGAGAGGGCGACCGGCCACAUUGGGGCGGAGAUACGGCCCAAACUCCUACGGGAGGCAGCAGGGGGGAAUAUUGCACAAUGGACGGAAGUCUGAUGCAGCAACGCCGCGUGCGGGAUGACGGCCUUCGGGUUGUAAACCGCUUUCAAUUGUGACGAAGCUUUUUUGUGACGGUAGCAGUAGAAGAAGCACCGGCUAACUACGUG
rnacentral:rRNA from 1 species